CAUCCCACUAUCCAAAUCCCCCUACCCCUAGUCCCUUAAAUCCUUCCCCUUAUAGUGCCUCCAUCCAUUUUAUUUCAAAAGCUAUUUCAUUAUUUCCAAAGAUGGCAGACAAAGGAAACACUAAGGCAUCGAGGAAAAGGGCGGAUGGUGGAAGAACUACUAAGGGAAGAAGUAUGACGACGAACGAAGAGCUUGUCCGCAAGGCAGAUGAAGUGGUUAAAGAAGCUCACAAAGUGAAAUAAUUCGCUAAACGCGUGGUAGCUAAGGUAUUAGAGGAAAGGAAUCCGAUGGGGCGUAUUUUAAGGUGAAGAUCGUCAAGUUGCCGGUGAAGUUGCCGCCAGCCAUGUUCAAAUUAACUGCCUUCCAAGUUGAAGAAAGAGGAGGCGAGGCUACUGAGAAUGCUUGUUAGAAAUGGUAUAGACCUAUGUUUGACCUCUUCUUGAGCUGAUGUUGAAGAUGGGCCGGGGUGCAAUUUGGGCAGAAAUCUUGUGAGAUCUUCUGCUUAUUUCCUUUCUAGAAUAAGAUAUUGAACUCUGAUCUAUUCUUAUUUUCGUUUGCUUUUAUUGUUCUUGAUGGGAUAUGGAACCGAGCUCGGAAGACUAAUACUAGCAGGCGGGACAAUGAGGAGGAUGGGUGCAAGGUUUUAAAAGGCGAAGGCGUGCCUUGAAGCGUUUUGUAUUUUGAGGCGAGUCAUAAGCCUCGAGGCGUAAGCCUCAAUUUUUAGCCUCAAACUAUAUUAUUGGUGGAGAAGAGGAACUCUAAGAAGAGGCUUAGGAGGGUGUAAAGGAGAAGUUGUAGUCUACAAAGGUUUUGCUUAGAUUGGAGAGCGCGCUAGAUGUAGACUCUAGUUAGCGUGGCUUUGUUUUUCCCUCUGCUUAGAUUUGGGCCUGUGAGCCUUAGAUAGAUGUGGCCUGUGUGCCUUAGACAAUGUGUUGUUAUGAUGGAUUUUGUAAACUUAGCCUGUGCACCCAUAGUUUUAUGGGUGUGGCAUAACACCUUUCCCGGAUUAUAUUAGUUUCCGCUUUCUGAUGUUUGAUGUUUA